CUUGCUGCAACCACAUGAGGUAGGAGUCGUUAUUAUCCUCACUUUUCAGGUAUGGCCGUCAAGGUGGAGUGAAGUUCAGCAACUUGCUCAAAUUCACGCACCGAAAGACUUGUACUUGACAUUGCCAGGAUCCGCAGCCCCGCGGCUGGACUCCAGAGCCAAGCUUGAGGAAACAGAACAUUCCGGAAAUCCAGAGUUAAACGUAUUUUAUCCCUUGGAAAACAGUGUUUGUCCUGAAGAAGUCGUGACAAGUGUAUUUCAUCCGUGAAUAAAGGCAAUUUGGAGGGAGAGAGAGAAAGCCAGCCAUUCUACCUCAUGAAUUCAUCGGUGCCUAAAGAAGUCAGCAGAUUCAAAAGGAAAUCGCCAGAAAAAAAUAAAACCUGAAACGUUCCAGGGCACAGCAGAUGAAAUCGAUGUUCCCCGAUUGGCUAACAUGCGACAGGACCGCCGGUCGGGCAGAGAAGGAGCCCUGGCAGUGUAGGCGGGAAAGGUCUCGAUCGCCGGGUCAGUCACAGAGGUGCCUGGAUUUCGCUGGUAUCGAAAAAGAUGACCGGGGCCAACUCACAUAUGGUCCCUAAAGAUUUGCCUGCAGCAAAUCAAAGUGGGGUUCCUAACACGGGCGAUCAAAUCCGCCACGCAAACGUGGGAAAUGUGGGGGUGUUCAGGAGUACUGGCGUGCCCAUCGGUUGUGCUCUGUGAUGCCAAGGCCUCUGCAGAAAAACGCAAAAGCCUGUGACGCGCUUCCACGACGCUCCGUUCCUUGUUCCACGCCACCCAUGCGUCUGUCACAAGACUGGCGAUUGCCCAAAACACAUGUAACCAGAGCAGCGAGGCAGUAUCGGGGACACGGAGUGGUUCGCUCCAGUCACAUCGGGCCGUGCAUCAGCAGGCUUUAUCUGCCGCGAUUUGAGCGGCUUGCAAAGAUUAUUGAAACUUGGGAAGCAGCAUUAAACGAUUAUCAGACACACAGGUGGCCCAUGAAUUGAGAAUUCCUUUACACGUGCUAAAUGUUAUAGGGGUUUUUUUCUUCCCCGACGAGCUUCAAAGUGAAACUGUAGACAUGUUUUCAUUGCCUUCAGAAGUAAAAGCAAUCUUUAGCAUCUCAGAGAAAUGAUGACUAUUUCAAAACCAUUUGGUAGACAGCAAAGGAAACUCGCCAGA